UACGUAGGGCGCAAGCGUUGUCCGGAAUUAUUGGGCGAAAGAGCUCGUAAGGCGGUUUGUCGCGUCUGCUGUGAAAACCUAAGGCUCAACCUUGGGCUUGCAGUGGGUACGGGCAGACUAGAGUGCGGUAGGGGAGACUGGAAUUCCUGGUGUAGCGGUGAAAUGCGCAGAUAUCAGGAGGAACACCGAUGCGAAGGCAGGUCUCUGGGCCACUACUGACUGAGAAGCGGAAAGCAUGGGGGAGCGAACAGG
rnacentral:rRNA from 1 species